rnacentral:misc_RNA from 1 species
UUCUACGCUCACGUCACGGCUAACUCGCUUUAUUGGAGGGGCACUUUGGUCAAGCCAGUGCACGGACACGUCAUAUAGAUUGUUCAAUACAACCGCACCAGCAGGGAGCGUAAUUUAGCAAUCUACGCAAUAAUACCCAGCAUUUGUGGCGCAACUUAGAAAGGCGCAAAAUUCAAGCAAAGUUUCGUACUCUCAACACUAGGCGCACAUUGGAAAUAGCUAGCAAACCUUUGCUACAAUGCGCAUAUUCACACAGUACAACGGAAAUUCGAAAAUCAUGAAAAAAAAAGGGGAAAUCGUAAUUACCGAUCUUCCUGGUGUUGGUAUUGGUGAA